UCUUAAAUCUAUUCACACCAGAAUGCACAAAAUCCCGUCCGGUCUUUGAAGUUAAGCUGUGUAUGGUGUCUCCAGUACUGUGAUGGGGGACCACACGGGAAUACGGCGUGCCUUAAGUA
rnacentral:rRNA from 1 species